ACGAGGAAACCAGCUUUGAAAUUUUAAUGCAGUGUCUUUGUGAACUAACAGCAAACAGAGGCUGAGACGGGAUGCAGACAAUAGACCCACUCUGGCCAAAUUAGAAGGCUCCAACUGAGAAGCAGCCAGGCAUGGUAUGAGGUGGUGGAGGUGGAGACCAGAGCACUGGUCUUGGAAACGAUUCCUGGAUUCCAUUUCAGGGCCAAGAGAUGUGGGGACCACAGGAGAAACUGGUGAGUUUCCCAUAGGUUUGGGAAGGCCUGAGAGAGAAGAUGAGUUUUGACCUGGGCCGUAGAAGAUGACCUUGAUUUUGCCACAUGGAGGAGACAAAAAUGUCAUUCCAGGCAUAGAAAUCUGCACGAAGAGAGGCAGGGCAACAUGUGAUGCUCAGAAAAUGGGCAUCAGCCAUCCUGCCCCUCAGCUCUUGCUGCCCCACCUCUGGCAUCUACAGCAGGAUUCCUCUUCUCAUGACCCCUGGUGCACAAUUGCUGUUUCGGAGAAGUUCCGGAAUCUGAUUACAUCAAGGAGACUCCUUUGACAAAACAUAAAACGAGGGGAAAACCACAUCCUGUCUGGAGUACCCUGGUGGUCCGGCAAGAUCUUCUAGGAGGUCCAAAGGCUGAUUUUUGCCCUUGAAGAAGUGCUGCGCUAGUAUCUUGGAGAAGUUUUCUGUCAACUCUGAGAAAAAAAUAGCCUGGGAAGAGCUGUUUACUCUGAAGCCAUCGCAGUGGGAGAGAGUCCUCUACUGGCCUUGAAGAAGGAAGUCCCGUGUGUGAGAAGCUCUGAGAGAGGGUGAUUUGCAAGGAACUGUGGCACAGUGACCAGAGAGAAUGAGAGAGAGAGAAACAUCAGCAUGAGAAAGAAACACAGCUUGUUUGCCUCCCAUACACACCUGGACCUAGGAUCAUAUGCACCCUGAUUGUGGAUUCAACAUGCAACUUAGGUUCCCAGGUGAGGUUGAUGCUCCUGGGCCCAGCAUCAUCCCUGAGAACCUCAAAUUUGGAGAACUUCUGCACUUUACAAUUAGGAAAUUGGAAUGGAGAAAUUGAUGGACUGUCUAAGGCAAUGGACAUGGCUCAAGCUGAGAGAAGUGAAAAUGCUCAGUUUUGCAGGAGCAAUGCCGAUGCUCAGUCUCCACAGCCUUGCCUGCAGCGGCUCUGUCAGUCUCUGUCUGGAUGGUGAGCCUGACCCCUUCUGCUGUGUCUUCACUGCAGUUUUACGGUCAUGCUGAAAAGGGCAAAAGUUGCCAGCUUCUUUUAAUGCUCACAUCCGGGGAUGAUGACCUCACAGUGUUUGGACAAUUAAUAUGACAUUUCCUAAUCAAUGUAUACCGAUGCAUUAUUUAUUCUAGCAUGACGAUUGUGUGGCAAAAAUUAACCCUGGCACUGGCUCUUCUUGCUCUGUACAUACUGUUUCCCAGCUCAGGCUUGAGUACAAUGGGCUCAUUUAUUCCAUCCAAGUUAUUCAGAAGGAUGGACUGCCGACUAAGGCACAGUGGAUGCCAACCCGGAAGUUUUCGAAUCGCCUUUUGGGAGUAGGCUGUGCCUUUGGGACUCAGCAUGGUAAGAAGGGAAUGUGCCUCUAUUUUCUUUGCUAUUUAUUGCUCUGUAUUAAAAGAUGCCUCUUCACUUGUCUGGCCAGAAGGAUAGUGUUUCAUUAAGGAAGGGCACGUCUGAAUUAGACUAGCGGCCAGCUUGUGCCACAUUAAAUCGUGUUACUUCCAUUUCCUCCUUGCCUGCUCUCCUCCACCGCACCCCUUCUGUCUUUGUUUGCUGUUUGGUUCAGAAGAACAUGGCUACCCCACGUAGGUGAGAGACACUGCAAAGAAGAAACAGUGGAGGUGCUCAGGAAACUCUGAACCACAGGGUAGCGACUGGCAUGGAGAGGCGGUGAUGUCGGAGUGGCCAGGAGUGGCCCAGGACUGCGGCAGAGGACUGAGGUGUGAGGAAGGAUAAAGGAGGAAAGCCAUGGUCCUUCCGUAGCUGAACUCUUGCCCUGUGACCUGCAGGGUGGCAUAGAAAGGUUCAUGAUGGAGGUCCCUUAGUAUUUCUUGGCCACUGCCAGAGAUGAGACCUCAGCUUUUGGGUUAUAUCUGCUUAGUAGUCCUUACCCAGGGUAUGUAUGCUCUUUCUGGUGGCCAGUUGGCAAGAGGGCACGGGUGUAUAAGAUGCAGUGUCCUCUGCCCCAGCUCAGUGGGGCUGGAGGAAAUCAGCUCCCUAGAGUGUGUAAGCAAGCAGCUGUGAUUCUGGGAGGGUGUAUGUUGGCCAUGGCUCCAAGGAGUCCUCGGAGAGCCAAAAGGCCUGAAUGGUGGUAUUGUUGCAUUUGAAUACCUCCGAGGAGCUGUCUGAAAAAAAACAAGAAGAGAUAAAAUUGAAAUGUUAAGCGUUUCCAACAAAAGCUAUUGGGGGAGAAUUUCCUGACUCAGCACUUGUUGACAUUUUCUGAGGCUUUUCACAGACAACAUAAGAUUACUCUUUUUUGUGUGUGUGGUUUUUGUUGUUGUUUGUUUUUGUGUGUGUUUUUAAAGCUUUUUGGUUUCCAUUGACAAGAGGGUUGUGCAAUCCAGGGGUUGAAGCCUUGCCAGGAAAAGGCGGGGCCAGGCCUUGACCACUCAUUCUUUGUGCCAGAGGAGCCCGGCCUGGCCCUGCCUGCUCUGGUCUCUGCUGCCGUUUGACUCACUGUCACCCGAAUACCCCAGAGUUGCUCUCCAGGUAACUUCAAGGCUCAAAUCUGGGGGAGUCUGGCCUUCUCAGUCCCGUGGAGCUCUGGCUUAUUAACCUACAUGCUGUGCGGCCCUUAACUUUUGUUAUGGGUUGAAUUAGACCCACCUUUCACAUGGGUCUUUUCACAUGGGAAGUCCUAACCCAUGCCUGUAUAAAAAGGGGAAAUUUGGAGGCAGACCCAUAUACAAGGAGUAUUCUAUGUGGAAGAUAAAGGCAGCCAUCAGGGCGAUGCCUCUAUAUGCUGAGGAAUGACAAAGAUUGACAGCAAAGUGCCAGAGGCUGGAUGAGGGGUCUGGAGCAGGUUCUUCCUCACAGUCUCAGAAGGAACCAACCGUGCUGGCACCUUCAUCUUGGACUUCUAUGCAAUACACUUCUGUUGUUUAAGUCCCCAGUCUAUGCUGCUUUGUUACGGUAGUUUUAGCAAACUAACACAACAGUGUUAUAGAACAGAACGAGUUUGCCCACUUGGCACUAGCAGAGCCAAACACUAAACACUAAUUGCAGUUGAGAAAUAUUGGCUAUUUCAUUAAUGGAUGGGGCCACCCAGGAGAACGGGGAGCUGAUGCUCAAGGGCCCAACCCCUCUGAUGGCAGGUAGGUUACAGAUUAUAUAGGGAAAAAGCACAAGACACCAGGGGUAGGGGUUUGGGGUUAUGCUGGGAGCUGAUUGGUCUGAGGUAGGGUAAUGGUCCUAAAUCAUUUCCUCAGGUCUUAAGAAGAGUUCUGAGGUCUGCUCCAGUGUAUCUCUAUCUGGUUUCAUUGGGGGGGGGGUCUCUACCGUAGGCCUCAGGAACUGAAACACAACUUAGGUCAAGAUGUUACCUUGAGCCUGCAGAGGUCCUGGCCUUGUGAUCUUUAGCCUGGUCCAGGUCACUGUCUUCCACUGCCUCAGGGGUUUCUGGUUAUGGGGGAAAGUCCAGGUCUCUGGGGUGCGGGUGGGGGACACAGAAACAGAGAUGAUUUCUAGAGCUAUGAUUUAUAGCUAAGUUUAAUCAGACACGAGACCCUCAGUUUUAGUUGGCAUUCCUGCCUUCUGUGUAUGGUUUUCUCCUUUUCUCCCUUCCUGCACUCCUCCCUCCUCCAGCCUUCUGUGAUACCAUGUUGGACUCGAACAUGCUCUGGAGCUCAACUGUGACUUCAAGUUCUGCCAUGUACAAGUUGUGUGUCCCCAACCUCUUUGUGCCUGUGUUUUCUCAUCUGUAAAAUGAGAACAAUAACAGCAAUCCUGACCUCAUAGAAUAAACAAAGGAACUAAUGUGAGCCCUCUUUGAGUGUGAGCAGUGUGCAGUCACUGCUCACAAUCUGAGUCUGAAGCCUUCACUGUGUCGAGUGUCUACUGUGGGUACAUGCGCCCUGUGGUGCUGUUGGUACUGAAGAAAUGGAUUCCAAGUUAUUCUAAGGCUUUACUCCUAUUUAACCUUAUCACUUCUGGGAGUUUAUAAUCUAAUUGAAGAAAUAAAAUUUGUGUAGGGAACAGUUUGCUGUACAAGGCAUUAUGUGAUUGGUUAUAGGACUAAAGGAUCAUUGAUCCAUCUCAGUCAAGUAGUUCUUCAUGCUGGGAGCACGCGAGACCCCACUGAGGGUACUCGGAAAACAGACCACUGCCUCGGCCCUUUCCCCAGACCAGCUACACAACAUUUCUGAAACUUGAGUGAAUGGAUGAAUCUGUCUGUGCUUCCAUUUCCUCAUCUGCAAAGUUAGGGUGAUACUUGUAUCUACUUCAAAGGGUUGUGGUGAGAAUGAAAUGGGUUAACCCAUGUAAUGCUCGUAAUAGUGCCUGCCACAUAGUAAACACUCAAUAAAUGUGAGCUCUCGGUCAAACAGUAGACUCAGCAGACUCAGCUCCAGUUUUACAGCUUAUUUGUUGAUUCCUGUUUGCCUGAAAAGCCUCUAAGAAUAACUUUCUCCAUUGCCCCUCCCACAUAAAGACUGUGGGAGUUCUAGACUACUCCUUGUUGAUAGAGAAGAUUAUCUGGCUACAGGACCUUGUCCAUGGGAGCAGAGGUGGGAGGGGACUUGUGGCUUGCCCGUUGAGGACCUCCAUAUUUUUUGCAGAUGUCAAGGCGGUACAUAAUCUUAAGUUUAGGUCUUGCAUCAUGUCUUCUUCUCCACCCCCCACCCCUCAACUCCAAUUCCUGUGCUUCCCUAUUCUCUUUCCUAAUUCUCAAGGCGUGUGUUAAGGGUCUAAGACAGAGACUGGGAGCUCAGAGGCUGUCCCGGCUGCCCGUCAACUGUGCAAUUCUAGGUGAGGUUCUCAACGUCUCUCAGCUUCAGCUUCCUUCUCUUUUAUAAACCAGAAAAUAGAAGUUCCCUUUUAAAUGCCUGCAUUUGAUAUUUAAAUGGGAGAGUGAGAAGCACUAUUAGCCCAGCAGAAAGUGCUCAGUAAAGGUCAUCCAUGGUCACUUAGGUGGCCUAACUCUGGUGUUGGCAUUUGGGGCCAGAGGGUGCUCUUGGUGGCCGGGUUUUGGAGCUCAUCUCAAGAUGAGAUGAUGUCAGCUCUGCUAAGGUAGCAAGGAUAGGACUGAGUGCUGAGAAGCAUGGCCUUGAUAAGACUCUAGCUGAGGUAUCUUUUCUUUCCCAGGAAUCUCAAGGUCUCAGGCCAGCAAACUUGUGCACUCAUGUUUUGAAAAAAACACAGCAACAAUAGCUGUUUGGGUGCACAUGCUAUUCCCUUAUCUUCCACUGUUGGCCUGUGCCAGUAUAAUCAAUUGUUCCACUGUCUCAUUGGGUAACUUGGAAACUGCGCUGAGGAUCUAUGAUAACCAGUUGGCUGGAACUAAUGUCCUUUUGGAGGUGAGGAGGAAAAAAAGGAAAGCAACGUGACAUAGACAAGGGACAGCCAAUUCUCUACAUUUUAGCAGAAGGAGAUUGAAUUUUUGAAAGCAGGCACCUAGAAAGAGAAUAUUGUUCUACUUCCUCCUUUUUUGUUCUCUGGGCUCACAUUUCCAAGAGGUUUAAUUUUCAAAACUUGAACAAGAAAGGGUAUUAAUCUUAAAUGUCUCCCAUUAAUCACCAAGUCCAGCCUAGUGGCGAGAGAAGGAUGACUCACUUCCACAGUUGAUUUCUUGGUAAUGGUGGGUCGAGGCUUGCCCUUACAUUUCCCCUCCUGUCUGGCUAAUGGAGAAAGCUUCCCCUUAGGAAGUACCCAUCCUGGAGCAAUUUUUCAAGGGGAAAUUGCAGACAGGAAUAGCCACUGACAUGAAAAUAUUUCUCAUAGGAAAACAAGGUGAGCAGAAUAGUAGAGUGAUCAUAAAUACAGACUUUCCCUUUGAGAGUGGUUGUAGAACUAAAUAAAAGCACAUAAUUCAGUGUAUGACAUGUUAAGUAGGUCUGCAAUAAGCAGUCAAUAUUUGCUCCCCCCACUUCUAUGUGCCAGACACUGGGCUGAGCACAUAACUUUUGCUGUCAUUGGAUCCUCAUCAUGUUUUAUUUAAUAGUUGCCAUUAUUUCCCCUUGGUUUACAGGUAGAGAAGCCAAAAUGCUAAGUGACUUGCCCAAAGUCACACAGAUAGUGGGAGGUGGAAGAGGGACCUUCCCCUCUCUACUCCAUAUUGUCACAGUAUGUCAUUGUGGAAUUACAUACUUUCUCUUACCCCAUGACCAUGGUAUCCUUACAAGCAAAUUAGUCAUGAGUUAGCUGUGAGGAAAUAAACCCAUUCCCCCAUUGCUUUUGCUGACCAACAUCCAAGUUCUUUUCUUGAAACUUCGAUCCUGCAGCAUUACAGGUCAGAGCAUCCUCCCUUCCCCCGCCCCCAGCAGCAUUCCAAGGGUCAUGAUGCUCUUUAAAGGAUUUUAAAGGGAUGCCCUUUCUGGCCCUGACAAAUUUCGUCUCAUAAAUGUCAGAUAAACUGCUCUGUCACCCAGCAGGCAGUCCGUCCAGGAUUCUCCAUCAGUGCCGGGUCCUGGUGGGGCCAGGAUGCUGUGGAGGCUGUGGCAUGGGGUCUACAGAGGGGCCGUCCAGGUGUGCGUGCUCUGGAGAGCUUCA